rnacentral:rRNA from 1 species
UACGUAGGGUGCAAGCGUUGUCCGGAAUUAUUGGGCGUAAAGAGCUCGUAGGCGGUCUGUCGCGUCUGCUGUGAAAACUCGGGGCUUAACCCCGGGCCUGCAGUGGGUACGGGCAGACUAGAGUGCGGUAGGGGAGACUGGAAUUCCUGGUGUAGCGGUGAAAUGCGCAGAUAUCAGGAGGAACACCGGUGGCGAAGGCGGGUCGCUGGGCAAUUCCUGACGCUGAGGCGCGAAAGCGUGGGGAGCAAACGGG